rnacentral:rRNA from 1 species
GAUGAACGCUGGCGGCGUGCCUAAUAUAUGCAAGUCGAACGAACGGACUCGUAGCUUGCUUCUCUGAUGUUAGCGGCGGACGGGUGAGUCACACGUGGAUUACCUCCCUCUCUGCCUGGUAUAACUUCGGGACACCGUCGCUUAUCCCGGAUGAUAUUUUUAUCCGUAUGGUUCUAGAGUGUAAUUCGGUCUUGCUUUCACUUAUAGCUUGUUCCCCGCUGCAUUAGCUAGUUGGUAAGGUAACGGUCUACCAAGACAACGAUGCAUAGCCGAACUGAGAGGGUGAUCGGCGACACGGGAACUGAGACACGGUCCAGACGACUAAGGGAGGCAGCAGUAGGGAAUCGGCCGCAAUGGGCGAAAGCAUGACGGAGCAACGCCGAGUGAGUGAUGAAGGUCUUCGGAGCGUAAAAAUCGGUUAUGAGGGAAGAACAUAUGUGGAAGUAAAUGUGGACAAAGUGACGGUACCUAAUCAGAAAGCAACGGCUAACUACGUG